rnacentral:tRNA from 1 species
GGGGGCAUAGCUCAGAGGUAGAGCAAAUUCUUCCUAAGAAUUGGGCCAACGGUUCGAAUCCGUUUGCUUCC